UCUCCGUAGGUGAACCUGCGGAAGGAUCAUUAACACGAACAAAAUGUUCCAAAACCUUUUUGGAUCAACGCCAACCUUUGAAAAGGCGAACCUAGUUGUAUUUUUCUCCUUUUUCUAUUUCGUUUUUCUCAAACGCAACUUCUCAUGGAAAUUGACUAGAAUCGUGUGAUUUGUUCCAAUCCUAUCACCUCUUUCUCCUCUCCUCUCCUCGUGAGAUGAGAUGGGAUGUGAGAUGGGAGAUGGGGGGUGGGUUUGGAACUAACCAUUCCUAACGCUAAAACAACUCUUAACAACGGAUAUCUUGGCUCUC
rnacentral:misc_RNA from 1 species